rnacentral:rRNA from 1 species
UACGAAGGGUGCAAGCGUUAAUCGGAAUUACUGGGCGUAAAGCGUGCGUAGGCGGUUUGUUAAGUCUGCUGUGAAAUCCCCGGGCUCAACCUGGGAAUGGCAGUGGAUACUGGCAAGCUAGAGUGUGUCAGAGGAUGGUGGAAUUCCCGGUGUAGCGGUGAAAUGCGUAGAGAUCGGGAGGAACAUCAGUGGCGAAGGCGGCCAUCUGGACCAGUACUGACGCUGAGGCACGAAAGCGUGGGGAGCAAACAGG